UAGUUUUCUGACAGAAUAAAUAUUUACUUUGUGUCUGUGUGCUCAAUAUGAAGCUUAGCUUAGCAUAAAAAACAGCUUUGAAUUCACUUCAGCUACAAUUGUCUCACAUUUAAUGGAUUUUUAAAUAGAUUAAACACACACGCACACACACGCACGCACGCACGCACACACACACACACACUGGUCACUUUCACAUACACUCACAACAAAGUUGUUAUGGUUAUCUGUUCGCUUAACUUUUAUUUUUAACUUAAAUUCCUUCUUAUCCUUUAUUUUUAAAUAGGUGAUUUUAUUUCCCUCUGGCCUUAUAUUGUAUUUCGUAGAGUAAUUUGUAAAUUUAACAUUUUCUUGCUCAUCUGUGUUGUUAUCCAUCGUCUUGCUGUCUGAGGUUACGUAUUUUGGUAACAAAGGUUUGAUUCCUGAUCCCUGAAAAAAUAUGUUUCAUUAGUUUGUUAAGUGUGAAAAUGUGAAUUUGUGCAACGUUCACUGUUACACUUAAACUGUUUGCUUCUGUGUGCAGACUUUAUGCUAAGCUAAGCUAACUGGAAGCUUCAUACGGACGUGCACAAGCUACUGUUCAGCAGGAUGAUAAAUGACAUGUAAUGUAUUGAUGAACAAGGAAAAUAUGAGGAUGGUGCAGCAUUAAACAAAUCUAUGAAAUUAUUCAAACUUUCAUUAAGAAAGUGAACAUGCAAAAACCUCAUGUGGUCCAAAAAGUGCAGCAGAGCACCUGUUGCUUUUAUUUGGUCAAUCUUUUCUCCACAUGUCCGCAGUCAUCCACGUCCAAAGCGCACAGAUCCUCCUCGCUGACGGAUUCACUGCUUCAUAACUUUGCAAAGAAAAACACUUUAGAAGUUCCAUCAAUCGAGGCUCAUUGAGAGAAACCUCCGUCUAUAAACGCGCUUCACUCCCUGUAGCUCACGACGGAGCAGUUUCAUGCUACUUGUUCCAUUCUUUCCUUUUUACUUGUCUCUCAAAGUCCAUUACAGCUUCAUCGACAUGUUUCACUCCAAUGGAGCUGAGAGUGAGCAGUUUAUGAACUCAUAUUAAUAUUCUUCAUAACUUCCUUCAUAAAUGAGGUCGUAAAAAAGGUCCAUUGUACUCGGAGGAAUAAAGGAUUCAAAUCUCAUGAAGGCAGCAAACAUACAUAAAUACAGUAGUUAUUGCCCACUGAAAACUAUGUAUUUCCAAAAUAGGUGAGUUUGCUCCUUAAUGGGUAAGAUUCCACUUCUGAGCCGAAAUUGAAGGAAAAUCUGAUUUGAACACAGUUGUCUUUUCAGAGGUACAGAGUUUCCUCAUAGGAUCGUUGACGUAACCUAAACUGGCUUUGAAAGGAUCUUUUUUCUGGGAUCUAUUUUCUUUAUUGCUCAAAAGUACUCAAGCUUACAUUUCUAUUUCUAAUUUUUGUGUUGCAGGAGAUUAUGGAGAGAUCCCCAACAAUUACAAUCCACAAAACUGAUAUGAGACAAAGUCGAAAAAUAUAGAAAUGAAAAUGCAUCUUGACGUUUAGUGUCUGACUUCCACCUAAAAGCUUCUCUGUCGCUGCUCCUGGUGAAAGUUGGUGAAAGUGGGAGAACGUGUGAAACGCUUUGUGAACCUCAACAGGAAGUGAGGGUCAUCGGUAUCUCCAUGGCAACAGGAAUAUGGCUGCCUGGAGCCAGAAGGAGGCAUUUCAUCAGUGAAGGCUUAUUCGUUCAUACGGUCUUCAUCCAUCCAAACUGCCAGAAGAUCUUCCCAAACCAGUUAAAAUCCCUCCUGACAGAAAACCGCGGCGUUGAAUCGGUGUGAGGCGUAAAAGGCUCCAGCAGAGGGCACCCCGCCUCCACCUCCACCUCCACCUUCCUGUGAGUUCAACAGAGCUCUCCUUCUCCACCCGACAAGAGACCCUUAGUGUGACAAGCCUACGAGACAUCUGCAGACCAUAAAAGCUCCAAUCACAAGGCCAUAAAAUGUGACUCCAUAACGGCAGAAUGCAGUUAUACAUGAAUGUACUUAUUGAUGUAGUUACUAAUGGGUUGAAAUGUAAAGACCAGGUCACUUUUUAGAAAGGUGUGACCUCGAGCACCUCCAGCUCAUUGGGAUUAGGUUGCACCAACUAUUCUAUUCUAUUCUUAAAGCCAAACAUUAUAUUAUCAAUGAGAUGCAAAUCCUUGGAAUGUAGUAACGUCUGUUUUGUUCACAUCAAAUCAUUUACUUAGUCUUUAUUCAGUCCAUGAGAGUUAAAUAUGUAUUUAUGCUAAUGUAAAAGUGUGUAAUAUCUCACAGAAGAGCAUUUUUAGUAAUUUGAGGAAAUUUUACCAAUUUAUUUAAUCAUAGAAUGACAAAAAUAUGCAAUUACAUCUUUAACAACUAACCUCAAUAUAUUAGCAGUCUGAUCUACGAGGACAUUUGAUUGGCUAGUUCGUUAUUAAGCUAACGCAUUAACAUCUAGCAUUUAGUAUUUGUAAAUAUUUGGCAUCAACGGAUUUUUACAUGAAUAGUUUAUGAGGAGCAAAAUAACUUUGGUCCAUUGGACCGACGUGAAACUGAUAAACCACUGUGGACAUGAAGCUAACUAUGCUAUUGAUAAAGCUAAUGCUAAAACAGACGAGUCAUGAAGCAUCAUUCAAAAGUCUCAUAAAAAAACAACAGCAAACAAGUUUUAGUGACAAAGUGUAUCGUAACAUAUUUGCCCAAGAAUUUUGUCUCAAUCCGUUUAAAUGUACCGUUACAGAACCACAUGUGAAGAAAAAAGCCACUCGGUCGGCAAAGCGACCGAUUAGCGACCUUAGCUAACGUUAGCCUCCGUUAGCUAACGCUCAUAACCACGUGAGGCCUCCGCUGAAACACCAGCAAAGUGACCUUUUACUGCCGAUUAAUCACACGUUUCAUUUGUAAGAGCAGGAAUGUGCUCUGGUUUGAAGUUAACUUUGUGAAAGAAGCACUUUAGGAGCGCAAAGAGAUAUUUCUGGGAAAUUUGUAAAAGAUCUCGACAUCUGCCAGAAUGGAUGACCUCCCUUCGUUCUGUUUCUCCAUCUCUUGGAGGAGGGAAGCCGCGGGCGAGCGGCUGACGGACAACCGCCGCAGAGUCAGAAUCUAUUCCAACAACAAGCUGACACGUUGUGGGAAAUCAAACACGCUGGGAUGUUAUCACGGUGCGACCGCUUGGUUCCCACGCUCGGCAGGAGAAAGUCGCAGAGAGGACGGGCGGCUCCCCGGGCGGAUGGCGCCCGGCUCAUCGGAAGGCCGCGGGGGGCGCAGCGGGCCGGCGAGCGGGCCCUCGUCACGUGGAGUGUGAGGCGAGCCGGGGUUAUCCUCAGAGACGCGGCGAGGUGAAGUGGGUGACCGUGUUUGAGGUCCGCCCAGCUGUUAUUGCCCCUAAUGUCCAACAGAUGUGGGGGAGCGCGGCCCGCUAAGUCCUCGCACAUGCAGGGAAAUCAAAGCAGAGAGCGCCGGCUGAGCAGCACGACACACACACACACACACACACACACACACACUCACACAGCUCCGUGUGCAUUAAAUCACUCUCAUUAACCAUUUAGUCAGAUAAUAGAGGCAAUUAAGAUCAGUCCUGAUUUUCGGAGCCGGGAUCAGAAAGCAGCGGCUCUCUGACCUUUACGAAACACAACUGUUCGUCACAUCUUUGCAAGUUUUUUGUAGAAAAAUGAAUUCAAAUAAAGUACUUUUUUUUUAAGUGAA